ensembl:lncRNA
GAGAGACUGACAGAACAUGUGGUGUGUGCUGUAGGAGCUACUCGUCAUACUGGAAAUCUCAAACACUGGAGGCCAAACACAGCAUGACUGCACAGCGGCUAGUCACUCAGCAGCUCACAACAACUGUGGGACAGGACAGAGCGCUCAAAACUUCACACAAGUCCAUGUGAGGAGUGUUACAGAGGAACAAAACGGCAAACUAAGCGUAUCUGCAGGAUCAGAAUGAGCGCUUCAGAGGAAAUGAUGGCGAUUCUACAGAACGUCUGGACCAAACUGCAGGGUCUUCCUCAAGACCACCCGCUCACGCAGGCGGCGUUUCUCAUCAUGCUGCUGUUCUUCUUGACAUUCAUCGCUCUGAUCGUGACUGGAUGUGUUUAUGGCCGAUGUGGCUGCUGUACGACAGGAACCAGAAACAGAGUCUCCGCCGUCUGAAACAUGGGCUCCACAAUAAAGAGGAAGAUGGUGGGGGGAGUGAAUGUACAGCGCUCUCUUCCACCUUCAAUACCACGACUGAGGCGCCCUUGAGCAAGGCACCAAACCCCCAA